rnacentral:pre_miRNA from 1 species
AGUGAGAUUGCUGGGUCAAAUGGUAAGUGUCUGUUUAACUAUGUGAGAAAAUGCCAAACUGUUUUCCAAAGUGGCCUCACCAUUUUGCCUUCCCACUAGCAAU